GAGGAGCCGUCAUCUCGUCGGUGCCCGGCGGAGGGGCCGGGCUGGACGGUACAGAACUCGGAGGACCCUUGAUGCCCUACCCCGCCAGCCCAGCACCGGUUCUCCCGCCUUGGCUCGAAGGGUCAACCAGGCCAUCUCCUGCCUCGAGACGGAGAGCGCCCUGGAAAAGGCAGAGGGGCGGACCUUAGUCACACGACAGCAAUGGCAAGAUUUUCACCCAAGCUAUCUGACUUGGAACCCAUGGAUUAACCAACUCACUGUACUGCCACUGGAGGCAAAUCCAGAGACCAAGGGAGCAGUUUAUACAGAAACAGGCACACAGUUGCAGCUGAGAUGGUCUGAAACAGCAAGACCCAGAAGUCUCACAGAACUGCAGGGAAACAGGAGCUUCCCUGGGGAUGACACAUUUGGCCAAGAUGCCGGCAUUAACCCACAGGGAAUUAUUGUUACAGACUGAAGAAUAGAAAAAGAAAAAGCCAGAUACAGCCUUAUUCCACCCAGCUUAGCUUCCGUAGAACAUUGUGAAUGAGAGAGUAGAUUCUUGAGAAAAUCCUGGGGUUACCCAGUUUUCAUGACUCGUUUCGUUAGACCAUCAUUUCCCAAAGUGUGUUCUUUAUAAAAAGUAGUUCCUUCAGAAGGCUGGAAAGUAUUGUUUUGAAGGGGGUUCCAUGAUGAAGUCAGUUUGGAAUGCAGGGUUUACCCAAUUUUGAGAAGUUUCUUUGCAGGACUUCUCAGGGCCUUUGUGAAUCUCCAAGAAAAGAAUGUAGUAUGAAAAAUGAGAACUUUCUCCUGGCUGAUGGAACACAUGUUGCAAAGCACUUCCAUAGACCAAUAUGAUUUCCAGUAAGAGCUAGAUAAAUUUUGUCAGUUGUUAAGGCAUAAAACAUUAACAUAGGAUAUUAGAGUCCUAGGCUUGCAUUACUUAAUUUGGAUUUUUCACCUUAGAAAAAUUAACUUGAAUGUGAAAAAUUAGGAGACAAUACAGAGAAAAUUCAAGAGCCUCUCCAGAUAAAUUCUUAGAACUAAUGAGAAAGUUCUCUAAAGUUUCUGGAUAUAAGAUGCCUGGGAUGCUGGAGGGGGAAAUACUUUCUUAUAUAUUAAUAGCAAGCAAUUAGAAUAAUUUUUUAAAUACCAUUUAUAAUAGUAUCAAAAUCUAUAAAGUAUCUAGAAAUAAGUCUAAUAAAAUAUGGCCAAAACAUUCAUGGAGAAAACUUAUAGCCUUUAUUUAAAGACAUAAAAUAAUUCUUAAACAAAUGGAGACAUUAUUAAAUAUGUUUAUGGAUGGAGAGACUCAAUGUAGUAAAGAUGUAAUCUUCUCCAUCUUUCACUUCCUUUGCUUCCUAAUUAAGACUUAUAUCGCUCUUGGCUGGGCACAGUGGCUCACCACCUGUAAUCCCAGCACUUUGGGAGGCCAAGGCUGGCAGAUCUCAUGAGGCUAGGAGUUCGAGACCAGCCUGGCCAAUAAGGUGAAACCUUAUCUCUACUAAAAAAAGAAA